rnacentral:rRNA from 1 species
UACAGAGGGGGCAAGCGUUAUUCGGAAUUAUUGGGCGUAAAGGGUGUGUAGGUGGCGCGCUAAGUCGGGUGUGAAAUUUCGGAGCUUAACUCCGAAACUGCAUUCGAUACUGGCGUGCUUGAGGACUGGAGAGGAGACUGGAAUUCAUGGUGUAGCAGUGAAAUGCGUAUAGAUCAUGAGGAAGACCAGUGGCGAAGGCGGGUCUCUGGACAGUUCCUGACACUGAGACACGAAGGCCAGGGGAGCAAACGGG